rfam:Candidatus Nomurabacteria bacterium RIFCSPHIGHO2_12_FTLL_37_29 rifcsphigho2_12_scaffold_22637, whole genome shotgun sequence.
UUCGGAUUGGAGUCUGCAACUCGACUCCAUGAAGCUGGAAUUGCUAGUAAUCGCAGGUCAGCUAAACUGCGGUGAAUACGUUCUCAAGUCUUGUACUCAGAAUUAAAUGCGCU